GACGAACGCUGGCGGCGUGCUUAACACAUGCAAGUCGAACGGAAAGGCCCUGCUUUUGUGGGGUGCUCGAGUGGCGAACGGGUGAGUAACACGUGAGUAACCUGCCCUUGACUUUGGGAUAACUUCAGGAAACUGGGGCUAAUACCGGAUAGGAGCUCCUGCUGCAUGGUGGGGGUUGGAAAGUUUCGGCGGUUGGGGAUGGACUCGCGGCUUAUCAGCUUGUUGGUGGGGUAGUGGCUUACCAAGGCUUUGACGGGUAGCCGGCCUGAGAGGGUGACCGGCCACAUUGGGACUGAGAUACGGCCCAGACUCCUACGGGAGGCAGCAGGGGGGAAUAUUGCACAAUGGGCGGAAGCCUGAUGCAGCAACGCCGCGUUGGGGAUGACGGCCUUCGGGUUUGAAACCGCUUUCGCCUGUUACGAAGCGUGAGUUACGGUAAUGGGUAAAGAAGCACCGGCUAACUACGUG
rnacentral:rRNA from 1 species